UUAGCUUGUCAAAGGUUGAACAGUUUUGUUAUGAAUAUUGUGAUAAUCAUGAAAUCUGUUGAAAUGUUGAGCUGUUGAAAUUUACGUUAAUCUUGAUAAUUUCAUUCUUUAUUCAUUCCAGAUUCAAGAAAGAUGAAGAUAAAAAGGACAGUUUGGAUGGGGAAGAUGAAGAUGAUGAGCAAGUCAAAGAUGAAAAGUUAAUUUAUUUUUACAAUUCUGGUGACAAUCUUGAAAAAGAACUUCAUUUAUUAACAAAUCCUCCUGGAAUUACAUCGCGAUUUAGAAAUAAAGUGGACGCUUCGACUGAACAACCAUUUCAAGAGACAAAUGCUCAAUCCGAUUUUAGCUCAUAUUAUCCACCCAGAAUUAUACACACUGCAGCCACACCUCAAGGUUCACCUGGACCACAGGAACUAUCUUAUGGUCAUAAGCACCUUAAUUUGUCAAGUUUGGCCCUCAAUAGUCAGCCUCAAUUGAAUGUUGAAAAGUCACAGUCCAAGUUUGAAGAACAUACAUCUUCAAGUAGUAUUGGACGGAAGCUAAGCACACUGACCUCCCUGAUGCCCAACCUGAUUCCUGGAACACCAUUUCGCUUGUCUCCUUAUUCAACAAUCCGUCGACCCAGCAUAAGUAAAGUUGAUUAUCCUGAUCGAUGUUAUGGUUCUUUGGUUAGUCCUCCUAUUGUAGUUGAAAGAAGCUCACAACCAUCGACUGGCAAU